GAAAUGAUGUGGCAGAAGAACCAGAUUACUUUAUUACAUUAAAUUGGGGAGAAAUCGUAUCAUAUCAGAGACUGCACAAAGUAAUAAAUAAUUAAUUGCACAAUCAAUGAAUGGAGAAGAUGAUAAGGAUGAGUUCAUGAGCCAUCCAUUUUACAUAUAAAUAAUUAUCAUUACAUAAAACAAAACACUGUAUACUUUCAUGUGGGCUCGUCUUCAGUCUCCAGGUGGAGGGAACUCCUCAUUUCAACCCACCACCCCCACCGCCACUCUGCUGUCUUGAAGUGAACUUCAGUUUUGGCCAGAGACUGAUUGAACAACAAGUGUUGGAAAAGAGAUGAUUCUGGUGGCAGUAGUGGCGGGGUUGAUGGAGGAGUACACGGUGCUGUUGGCAAGGCUGCUUGAGCAGAUGUUACAUGAAGCUCCUUUUCCAAGGCGAAUGCGUUUCCUUAUCCUUCGUAGUCUUCCUUUUGUGUACUCCACUCCCCUUCUUAUCCAAUCCCCUACUUAAACCCCUGUUUUUUUUUUUUUUUUCCCAUAUGCAGACUUCGGUUAUGUGUACAUUCUCUGGACCUCUGUUUGCUUCAUCUAUGUAAUAUAAUUUCCAUUCCAA